GAUGAACGCUGGCGGCGUGCCUAAUACAUGCAAGUCGAGCGAACAGACGAGGAGCUUGCUCCUCUGACGUUAGCGGCGGACGGGUGAGUAACACGUGGAUAACCUACCUAUAAGACUGGGAUAACUUCGGGAAACCGGAGCUAAUACCGGAUAAUAUAUUGAACCGCAUGGUUCAAUAGUGAAAGACGGUUUUGCUGUCACUUAUAGAUGGAUCCGCGCCGCAUUAGCUAGUUGGUAAGGUAACGGCUUACCAAGGCAACGAUGCGUAGCCGACCUGAGAGGGUGAUCGGCGACACUGGAACGGAGACACGGUCCAGACUCCUACGGGAGGCAGCAGUAGGGAAUCUUCCGCAAUGGGCGAAAGCCUGACGGAGCAACGGCGCGUGAAUGAUGAAGGUCUUCGGAUCGUAAAACUCUGUUAUUAGGGAAGAACAAAUGUGUAAGUAACUAUGCACGUCUUGACGGUACCUAAUCAGAAAGCCACGGCUAACUACGUG
rnacentral:rRNA from 1 species